rnacentral:rRNA from 1 species
ACCGCCCGUCACACCGAUGGGAGUGGGGUUCACCAGAAGCAGGUUGCCUAACCGCAAGGAGGGCGCCUACCACGGUGAGCUUCAGUGACUGGGGUGG